CGAGCGGCUCGGAUUGGCAUAACCCGAGGCGCUGGGGCCGUCAUCAAAGGUCAGCAGAAAGCGGAUCGGCGCCUGUGCGAUCAGGCGUUGCUCGG
rnacentral:tRNA from 1 species